CACCCGCUCCGCCCUGUGUGUUUUAUAUCACACACAUUCCAUUAUCGAGGCUCCGCGGCGGUCUGUCAUUGCAAAAUCCACGCGGGAGAGCCGUCCAGUGUGUUCUUACGCUAAGUGUCACAGAUAUUAAUACACUGUAUUGCAAGUUGUACAUCAUUAAAAUUUACAAUAAAAAUGUAAUUUAUCAAGUUAAGAUUUUUCAAAGUUAACAUGUUUUCAGUUUUCGUUCAAUAUUCCUAUGUGACUUUUUCAAAAAAGACCAACUCAAAUAUAUAAUUCCCAGCUGCAUAUAAUAUAUAAAGCUGCAAGUCGAUCUCUGAAGCUUGAGAACGUCCCAAGAAAUUUGACGUCAGCCUCUUUGCAGUCUUGUUAUGAUUUUGAAGCAUGCGUUUAUCGAUAGUUUUCGAAGAAGAAAAAAGAAAGGGAAUUGGUUGAAGUUGAACUCCAGAUACUGAUGGCAAAUGCUAGUAAAAAUAGUGCGAAUGUAAAGACAGUUUACUCUUUUCUGUUUACCCUCCGGAAGGACUAACCCAAAGGCAAAAGUAAAUUACAUAUACUGAAAAACCUACAGAGAGGUUUUUGUAUCCGAAGCAAGCCGUGCUGAAGUAUUGACCGCCGUUGAUUCACUAGUGUCCGUAGAUCCUCAUCACCCUCCUCUGACCAUUCGCUUCAACGCACCAGCUAAAUCAGUGACUUCGCUUUCGGUGGGAAAUGUAGAAGAAAAGAAAAUAAAUUGCCGCAAAAUUUAUUUUGAUAGCCUUUCUGCCCAUCUGUCCGGUUUGAUUGGAGAUGUAUCUACGAUUGUACGAGCGUCCAUGACAUGGCAUUCAAAUUUUGCGACAUCAUUCGCCAAAGGCUGACUGCGAACGUUCCUUUGAAACGGUGCCUAAUUUCACCUCCUUGGAGUAUGCCUCUCCUCCGGAGGGCAAAGCGUGUACGCAAUCAAUGGUAGCGACGUAUGCGAACUCAUCGAUCCCACUUUACAAAAGCCAAUUUCAAACAUGCAAGCGAUGACUACUGGCAUCUAAAUGCUGCACUCUACAAAUCACAUAUAUUAAGGGUGCAGUUUGGUCUACGUCGUGAUCCAAAAUCCUUCAGGAGCUUUGUCAAUAGCAAACGCAAAAACCCAAUAGUUCCGUCCAAUUUAGUGUAUGAAGACAAGGAAUCCAGUGAUGAAGCCGAAGCGCGCGACUCCUUUGCGAGACAUUUUGCUUCCGUCUUUCAACCCGAGCCAUCUAGCGAUUCCGGUGCUGAACUUGCUGCGUCUAACAUCGUUGCGGAUGCAGUAGAUUUGGAUACGUUCGAAAUAUUACCUGCAAUGAUCAUCCACGCCUCCAAGAAAUUGAAGAAUUCAUUUUCUCCUGGACCGGAUGGUAUCCCUGCAUCUGUCUUUCGUCGCUGUGUUGCGGAGCCGCUUGUCUUCAUUUUCAGACACUCGUUUGAAAGAGGAGUGUUUCCCAUGUGCUAGAAAGAAUCAUAUAUGUUACCUGUACACAAAAGUGGCGAUCGACGUAAUGUGAAGAACUAGCUCCCCAGCGUCCGAUCAGUACGGUUUCAUUCCCGGCAGAUUCGUAAGUACCAAUCUGUUGGAUUUCACCAGUACUUGUUUCGAAGCUUUAGAACAAAAGGUACAGGUAGACGUGAUCUACACAGACCUAAAGGCGGCCUUUGAUAAGAUCGACCACAAAAGUGCUCCUGUGUAAACUAUCACGGAUGGGCGCAUCGAACAGAUUGGUAUCGCGGUUGCAUCUUCGUUAGUGUUCAAGAACAAACUUAUGUAUGCUGAUGAUUUGAAGAUGUAUGUCGUAGUACGAUGCAUCGGGAAUUGUCUACGCCUUCAAAGGCUUCUCAAUGAGUUUGUUCACUGGUGCCGCAAGAACAAACUUGUUAUUAGCAUCGGUAAAUGCGAUGUAAUGAUCUUUCAUCGAUCCAAGGACCCAAUCAUUUUUGACUAUCACAUCGUUGAAAAUGUUCUCGAGAGAGUAGAUGAAGUGAUAGAUCUAGGCGUAGUGCUGGUUCUAAACUUUCCUUCCAUUCUCAUUCUACUUCGACCAUAUCUAGGGCACACCGACAACUUGGUUUCCUAUUCAAGAUUGCCAAAGAUUUCAAGGACCCGCAUUGCCUAAAAGCAUUGUGUUGCUCACUUGUUCGCCCGAUCCUGGAGAAUGCAUCUGCUGUUUGGGUUCCUAAUGAUGUCACGUGGAACCUAAUGAUUGAACGAGUGCAAAAGAGGUCUGUACGGCUUGCGCUCAGAAAUUUACCGUGGCGUGACCCAUUGAACCUACCGGCAUAUCCUGACAGGUGUCGCUUGCUUGGACUCGAAACACUUGAUCGGAGACGAAAGAUUCAACAAGCGUCGUUUGUAGUUAAACUACUCAAUGGCGAUGUCGACUGCUCUUAUCUCCUAUCGCUUUUGGACUUUCGAGCCUUGGGUAGGAUGAUGAGAUACCGAUCCUAAAUGCAGCCGGGAUUUCAUCGUACUUUGUAUGGAUACAACCAACUUGUUUGUGCAAUGAUCCUCAUGUUUUCGUCUGUUGAAUCAGUGUUUGAAUUUGGAAUGUCCACGUCACAAUUUGUUAAUAGUGUAAGAAGACUGCAGGUGUUUUAAAACGUGAUAGAUUAUUCAUUAAGACUAUUUCUGUCAGAUGAAUCAAAUAAUAAUAAAGAAUUUGUACAAACCGAUGUUUCUCCAAGGAAACUGUGAUAUUGUUUUGGUGAAUAAGACAACCAAUUGUAAUGACUGAGACAAAUGUUAUUCUAAACGAAUUCUCAACUUCAAUCAUAAUAGAUGUCAUUGCUUUCGUACGUAUUUUGUUGAGGCGUUUGGCUAAUUACAAACCCUCUUUCGAAACGAAUCACGAAAUCGAAGUCCAACGCGAGUCGUAGAUAUUAAAAAAAGGAAACCUCGAUGUCACAAAGACCGAAAACAAAAGAGCUUAUCCGAGAAUACAUUCAUUUCCCCUACUGAUAUUUAAAUAUUUUUUAUAUAUGUAGUGAACGUUUCUAUCACCUGCCGUGAGAACCCAUGGUUCGGUAUCAAUUGCUUGCUGGCAAAAACUGUAUAAAAUAGCGCUUUAUCAUUGUUUUGAUUCCCCCACGCGCGGAAGGAAGAAUAUUGUGGUGUGUAUAGAGCUGAUUGCAAAUAUCCUUUGUUUUUUUUUGUAUCAAGAAAAAUCCAUGUUUUGCUUUAGGCUGCUGCGUUGUAGUCUUCGCGUUACAUAUUUGUUUCUGUUCCCCCUAUCUCAGGAACAAACAAGGCGCACUUUUUUUUAGUUACCUGCUUUUUCGUCGUCAGUUCAUUGAGUGUCUCCUCUAUGUUUCUUUUUUAUAAAUCUGUUUUGGUUGAAGUACAAGCGAGCGAGAAACCUGCUUCUGAUUUUAAUUGAUUGUCUGGAAACAAAACAAAAAAAAGGGAUUUCGAAGAAAUAAUAAGUAAGAAUAAGGAACACAAGUUCUAAUUAAAUUACAUGGCGUGAAUUUUUGUCAAAGAUUUUACAACAGAACAGAAAUCAUCCCGAGGGGAAUAUUGAAAUAUGAAUAAGAGCAAAAAAAGUCAGAAGGAAACACAAAUCGAACAAAAUACUGGCUCGUUACGAAAAAAAUACAGUCCAACAUCAUCGUAUUGUGUGUGCAGAGUAAACCUGAAACUUUCUGAAAAAAAAACAGCCGUCUCCCCUCUUUUUAAGCUGUAAUUUGCUGCUUUACACUUCUUCUCCAAUACUCAUAUGAAUUAUAGAAUUUUUUUUGUUCUUGUGGGAGGAAAACUAUGAGCUGUUGGCGCGUGUGCAAUCGAAUUUAAAACAUUUUAACAGAAACGAUCGAUAAAAAACAUAAAAGAUAAAAUGGCAGACAGCGAUAAUAUUCUUCUGUUUUUUUUUUGUUCUGCGAUUCCUUUGUGAAUAUGAAUGUUAUAAUCUUCUGAAUAUUGUAGUUUCUCUUACAAUAUGUGUAUCCCACCACUAGAAUUGUACACAAUAACUAAAUAAUACAAGGUCCUGCGUGUAUAUAUGUGUGUGUGAUUAAGAUAGAUACACUUUUCCUUCGUCGCAGUGCCGUCUCAUCUCAUUGGAAGCCAUUAUUAUCAUCAUCAUCAUCGACGGGACGCAGUCAAUCCCCCGGAAAACCGGAAAAAAAGAGUUUCAAUAGCUUACACUUUUCGCCUCCUGGUUUUGGGUGUCCCCAAGCGGAGACAUUUGAAAAGAGUGUGAUAAUUGUAUAAAUUGGAUUCCCUAAACACUAAAAUUA